rnacentral:tRNA from 1 species
UGAGGGAGUUCCGGAGUGGUCAAACGGGCAGCCCUUAAGAGGCUGUAGCUUAGUGCUUACGCAGGUUCGAAUCCUGUCUCCCUCAU